rnacentral:rRNA from 1 species
GCAUCUAAGCGGGAAGCCCUCUUCAAGAUGAGGACUCUCACAGGGUUAACCUGGUAAGGCCCCCAGUAGACCACUGGGUUGAUAGGCCGGAAGUGGAAGUGCGGCAACGCAUGCAGCUGACCGGUACUAAUAGGCCGAGGACUUGACCUCAUACACAC